AUACGGAGGGACCAAGCGUUGUUCGGAAUCAUUGGGCGUAAAGCGCGUGUAGGCGGCUUGGUAAGUCGGGUGUGAAAGCCCGGGGCUCAACCCCGGAAUUGCAUUCGAAACUGCCCGGCUAGAGUCCCGGAGAGGAGGGCGGAAUUCCCGGUGUAGAGGUGAAAUUCGUAGAUAUCGGGAGGAACACCAGUGGCGAAGGCGGCCCUCUGGACGGUGACUGACGCUGAGAUGCGAAAGCGUGGGGAGCAAACAGGAUUAGAUACCCCUGUAGUCC
rnacentral:rRNA from 1 species